rnacentral:rRNA from 1 species
GGAGUUUGCGGCUUAAUUUGACUCAACACUGGGAAACUCAUCAGGGCAAGAAGAUUUUAGGAUUGACAGAUUGAGAGUUCUUUCUUGAUUGGUCUAGUGGUGGUGCAUGGCCGUUCUUAGUUGGUGGAGUGAUUUGUCUGGUUAAUUCCGUUAACGAACGAGACCUUAACCUGCUAACUAGUGGUCUUAUCUCAAAUUCGACUCACUUCUUAGAGGGACUAUGUGAUGUAAUCACAUGGAAGUUUGAGGCAAUAACAGGUCUGUGAUGCCCUUAGAUGUCCUGAGCUGCACGCGUACUACAAUGGCACUUUCAACGAGUUUUUCCUGAUCCGAAAGGAUUUGGGUAAUCUUUUUAGUGAGUGCCGUGAUUGGGNNN